AAGAUACCAUAGUAACUUUGCCGGACACCCAAAAUUAGAGCUAGCACAAUGACUGAAUGAGGAAAAAACAGAAGCAAUAGGCAAGGUAAAGCCGCGUACCUUCCUAACGUGAGCUGCGGUAAAAAAAACUCAGCCUUCUGCCGAACCAUGAAUACAAUACGCUCUCCAACUACAACAUCCACUAGCAGGAAAAGACAAGCUUAACACACCAAGGUCUAAGGCAUUUUAGUCUGUCAUAGCCUUGUGUCAGUCUUAAGGCGCUUUAGUCGACGGACUCCCUAAUAUACCUCCCUCUCCUCUUAAGCCAACAAUACAUGCCAUACCAAACACACAAAGCAUCCCAUCCUGCAAGAAACCAGCACACAAACAGAUCUCCAAA
rnacentral:misc_RNA from 1 species